UACGAAGGGUGCAAACGUUAUUCGGAAUCACUGGGCGUAAAGGGUGCGUAGACGGUAUGUUAAGUUCGUUGUUAAAGGCUCCGGCCCAACCGGAGUAUUGCGAUGAAAACUGGCAAGCUAGAGGGUGAGAGAGAGAAGUGGAAUUCCCGGAGUAGCGGUAAAAUGCGUGGAUCUCGGGAGGAACACCAAUGGCGAAGGCAGCUUCUUGGCUCAUACCUGACGUUGAGGCACGAAAGCGUGGGGAGCAAACAGG
rnacentral:rRNA from 1 species